rnacentral:lncRNA from 1 species
UACAGUAAAAGCUGGGGAGGUGUGUAGGGCUCCAGUCUUUGGGUUCACAGCUUGGCUCUACAUUCAUUGCUGGAGGAAUCCAAGCCUCACAAAAGACCGCUUUUAAAGAAAAACUCUAUUUUUCUUAGAAGAACUAGCUUUAACCAAACUUGAGUAAGAACUCCCUGACUUGGAAACACUCAAGUUUCCCACACAUGACUGGAUGGCCCUGGCCACACUGGGAACGGAAUGGGGGCCUCCCAUUGGAACUCAGGGUGGAGGGGGAAGCUCGACCAGCUAUUGUGGCCCCCACUUCCAUUGACAAAAUACAAGUGAAAUCACAAUGACAUCAAUAAUCCUGAAUUUCUUCUUCACACUCACUCAUGAAAAGUCUCCGAUUUUCCCACCUUGCUCAGCCACCUUAAGUGCCUUCCUUCAAGAUAUUUCCUACUGCUUCUAAAGAGGAUCUCCCAUUGGCUUGGGAGCAGCGUGAGAAGAGACUUGUACACAGAGAGGCUGGGCAACUUGUACAUGGUUGCACAGAUGUCCAGAGGCAGUGCUGAGAUGUGAACACAGGAAGACUGGAUUCAGCAUCUGUGCUACUAACCAGGACACUAUGAAGUCUCUCAUACCUGUGGUACUAGGAAAAUCAGAGAAAAUUUCAAGGAGGGUGGGGCAUUAGAAGCUGACUAUGGAGGAACCGGUAGGAGUUGGAUGUUUGGAAAUAGAGGGCAGGGCAUUGCAGGUAGAGAAUGGGAGUGUAUUCUGGAUGCCAACACAUCUGUGGCGGUCCUAAGAUCAGGAAUAGAUGGUCUGUAUCUUCAGUAUGACUUAAUGUUUCUGAGUGUAAGACUUAAUCUCCAUUUGAAAAAGGAUAAAAAGAAGGAAAAAAAAUAAAAGCUAUUACGUUUCUG